rnacentral:lncRNA from 1 species
GGCACGAGGGAAGGGUGGAUGGGAAGAAGGUCACUGUCUCAGCUCUGGGCGAGAUUUAUUUAUCCCUCUGGUUCUUCUCGGUCUUUGCCGGGAUGGCUUUGAUCCCGGACUCCUAAAAAUACCUUUGAAGGACCCCCACCCCGCCGCCCACUGUCCUACUGCCUCCCUCUUUGGAAUACUGGGAGGUUACGAAAGAAAGAAAGAAAAAACACCAUUAGACUUUUCCAGAAGGCCCCCCGCUGCUCCUGGGGAGGCGGGAGGAUGUGCAGCCCCCGUCCUCGGCUCCUCGGAGCCUCAGCGUGCCCGCAUUUGCGUCCUCAUUACCACUACAAAGCAGGGACCAGACUGAGCCCCUUUAUAAUGCUUCAUUUUCGACUGAGAGCAUCAAGAGGCCAGAAGCUCCCGAGUCAGCCUGCAGACGCAGACGCCUCCUCGGUCCCGGCUUUAUCUCCAGGGAAAGUUCCAUUUUAAGAACCAGAUGCCAACAUUCCCGGACAGUUUAUGGCAUCCGGAUCCCUCAAGGGUGCUCAUCUGCAGUUCAGAGUGUUGGUAGCAAUUAUUUAUCGUCUGCCCUGGAGAGGAGUUCCUGAACAUAAAUGUCC